CCUUCGCUCAACGGAUAAAAGCUACCCCGGGGAUAACAGGCUUAUCUCCCCCAAGAGUCCACAUCGACGGGGAGGUUUGGCACCUCGAUGUCGGCUCAUCGCAUCCUGGGGCUGUAGUCGGUCCCAAGGGUUGGGCUGUUCGCCCAUUAAAGCGGUACGCGAGCUGGGUUCAGAACGUCGUGAGACAGUUCGGUCCCUAUCCGUCGCGGGCGCAGGAAAUUUGAGAGGAGCUGUCCUUAGUACGAGAGGACCGGGAUGGACGCACCGCUGGUGUACCAGUUGUUCUGCCAAGGGCAUCGCUGGGUAGCUAUGUGCGGACGGGAUAAGUGCUGAAAGCAUCUAAGCAUGAAGCCCCCCUCAAGAUGAGAUUUCCCAUUCCGCAAGGAAGUAAGAUCCCUGAAAGAUGAUCAGGUUGAUAGGUCUGAGGUGGAAGUGUGGCGACACAUGGAGCUGACAGAUACUAAUCGAUCGAGGACUUAACCAAUUU
rnacentral:rRNA from 1 species